rnacentral:lncRNA from 1 species
GCCUUAGCAACGGCGCCGCUGCGGCCCCGCGCUUUCCCCGCCGCGCCGCUCUGUGCCUCGGGCGGCGGCACCGGGCCCGACCCCGCGCUCCGGCGGCAGCAGCGCGGCCUCCUCCGUGCCGGGCAGCGACCGGCUCCCUCCCGCCAGGUACAAUGUUUGCGGGGCCGGGAGCGCCUGGCCGUUAACGGGGUCGGUACCGUUUGCGGCAGGGCUGUCGCUCCGGCGGGUCUAGUCAGCGUCCGUGUCGGGGUGUGCCGGCUCCCGCAGGGGGCUUGGCUGCUGUUUGUGCUUCCUGCUCGGUCUCACAGUCCAGGCUUUUCGUCCUUUGUGCGUCGUUCCGGUGUGCCGCUUCGGAAACAGUCGUGUUCUGAGGUGUUUUGGAGCCUAGCGCAGGGCACGUGGCCUAAUCAGGAAAAAAAAACUGGAAUGCAGAAGGUUGACAAUAACUUGAAGUUURUUAAAUGACAUGAAGCAAGUCAAGUUGGCUGAAAUUUUACCUGUGAACUGAUCAGCAUUGUAUUGUUUUAUCUACUUUGUUGAACUUCUUCAGAGUCUUCAUGGCAAGAGAUGACGCAGCAUGACAUCACAUGUGGAGACAGGAGGUAUCCAGGAAAAGGAACCAAAUCAGGCAGGCAGCCCAGCGGGUCAAGAGGGAGCUUCGACUGCCCCUGUGGAAGAUGGUGGCCAGGGCUGCUGCCGCCAGGACACGCACGCGGCCGCCAGCCGGGAGGAAGGAGCGCUGCCAAAAGCGGCUGGAUAUCGCACAGAUUGUCCUGGCAGGAUAUAUAUGGUUUGUGAUCCAUACGAUUAGCACUGCUGCUUUCCAGUCCCACCGCUUUAAAGCGCAUGAAAUAGAGCCUUUUUUUGAUGAGCGCUUCCUUCCACAGCGAAAACACUCAAAGCGUUUUGCAUGGUAAAUAUAUGUAUUUAAAGAACCAUCAACUCGAAAAAUCACAAUACCGCUUGAAAAUGUGUAGUUGCAGCUAUUUAUAACGCGAGUGGCAGCAAAAGGAGGGGAAAAAAAUAAAAGCCCUUCCUGGCAGCCUGCUUCCUUGCUA